rnacentral:rRNA from 1 species
GAUGAACGCUAGCGGCAGGCCUAACACAUGCAAGUCGAGGGGUAGAACACUUCGGUGUUUGAGACCGGCGCACGGGUGCGUAACGCGUAUGCAAUCUACCUUGUACAGGGGAAUAGCCCAGAGAAAUUUGGAUUAAUGCCCCAUAGUAUAUAACCUUCGCAUGUUGGUUAUAUUAAAGUUCCAACGGUACAAGAUGAGCAUGCGUCCCAUUAGUUAGUUGGUAAGGUAACGGCUUACCAAGACGAUGAUGGGUAGGGGUCCUGAGAGGGAGAUCCCCCACACUGGUACUGGGACACGGACCAGACUCCUACGGGAGGCAGCAGUGAGUAAUAUUGGUCAAUGGGCGCAAGCCUGAACCAGCCAUGCCGCGUGCAGGAAGACGGUCCUAUGGAUUGUAAACUGCUUUUAUACAGGAAGAAACCCUCCCACGUGUGGGAGCUUGACGGUACUGUAGGAAUAAGGAUCGGCUAACUCCGUGCCAGCAGCCGCAGUAAAAC